AGCCCCGAGGUGUCAGCAUAUUGGUUUGCAAAACCGAAGUAGCAGGCUAACUGCCUGCCGGGGCUU
rnacentral:tRNA from 1 species